ACAAUAUCAGAAAGUUAUUACUGGGGAUAUUCACUUAUCCACUUCACAGCAGGAUAGCACUGUAAUGCUUAAAAAUGGCUCUAUCGGUGUCAUCAAAAAUAUUAUCGAUUACGAAAGAAAGGGAUGUCAUCUUCUUUUACGAGUUUUUUCAAAAGUUGAGGACCUUUUCAAACUUCCGUGUGAUUCAUCAUUAGUCGGUAUUUUUCUCUGCUCUCUACCGAUUCCACAAUUGACGUUAGUUUCUCUAAAUCAAGUCACAGCUAAGUGUUUCAGGAUGCCUUACUGGUCUCCCGAAAUUCCGACAAUAGAGUCAAAUUCUCAAUUUUUCGUCGUCGUAAAAAUUAUGUCUACUAGCUUAGAAAAUUAAAUCUUCAUUUUGUAGCCUACUUCUUCCUUUCUUCUUGUGUUUCGUUUUUUACUAGCAUGGCUGACAAAAAAAGGAAGAAUUUGGGAGCGCUUCCAACUAACAUCGCAGCAACCAAGCUCACGAAGAAGAUGUCUUCCUUCUCCGUGUCUACAGGGAGCUUCGGGAGGAGUGCUUUUUUGACUGAGACAUCAACUCUCUCUCAACCGCUGCUGAAAGAACAACAGCGGCAGCAAGUACCACCGCAUACAAAAUCGCUGCAAAAGGAACCACCAUCGCACCGAAGGCCGCUGCAGCAAGCAGCAACAACGCAGCGUAAGCCUCUACAGCAGCUACAGCAGCAGCAACCGAAACUGCAGCAGCAUCAGCGGAAACCACUACCGCAGAAGAAACCGCAGCAGCAGCAGCAACCGCUUCAGCGGAAAAUGCUGCAUCCUCAGCAACCACCAGCGUAUCGAAACACGCAGCAGAAGGAGCUGGUACCACCAGCACCACGAGCACAACGCAAUGAUGUGCUCAAUGAACCACCACGGGAGACAUUGGACUCCAUCAACAGAAGACUGGCAGCCCUCGAAGGAACGCAACGCGGGAUUGGAGAGACGCUGAAGCAGUUUAAGGAUGUGACAAGUUCAUCCGAUGAGAGACUGAAGAAAAUGGAACAAAAAGUGACAGCGAUUUAUAACAUCCUGAAAAACUUGGCAGCCGCGCAAUCUUCUGCAACGAGAACUCGUCCAGAAUUUUUGCCAUUUAAAACAACCGCUGACAUUGUUGCCUUCGAUCAUCUCGCUGAUGAUCAGUUUGAUGCUCUCGUGCAUUACUUGAGAUACCUUGGAGGUGCGAAUGAAACUGACGCUGCAGCGAUUUAUUUCAAAGCCUGCUUCAAGUUUCACGAAGAUUUGUUCCGGAAUGUCACUUGGCAUGGAUCCAAGUCGGACAACAAUAUUUUGGCGUUAAAAGAUACGCGUUUCGCUUUAGCCUGCAGUGAGGCAAUGCCCAUCUUGAAGGAACUCCUCAGGAAGCCGAAGAAGGAUGAAUUUGCGACUGCGAUGACGAAAGCUUUGAAGAGCAGUAAGGAAGCUUAUCGUCGUCAAAGCAAAAGAGCUGCACCACCGGCCGAACAAUCGCUUCCUUUCAAGAGGCAACGCCAAAAUGAUCCACCGCAGAAUAACGCGGUAGGAAAUAUGGAGUACGAGUACGACCUCAAACCACUCCUUGGGGGCGAAGUACAUCAGCCCAUCGACAACCAGCUCAUGGACCAACAGCAGCCCAGCGAUGGAGACGAAGAGGUCGACGAAGACCAGUUCGACGAUACGCAGGUCAUCGAGGAAGAACAAGACGAAGAAGGAGAAGAAGCUGAAGAAUAUAAAGAAGAAGAAGCUGAAGAAAACGAAGACUUCAAGGAACAGGAAGAAGAAGAACUGGAUGAGCCGGAUACGUACUUCGACGACUACGGUUCAAAGUCGAUCAAUGAAAACCAGGAUGACCUUCAACCGUCGGACGAGGAUCUCUACCCGGAAUGAGCUAAGUCGCCCCUUUAUUUAUUGAUGUUCUUUUGUUCAUUUAAUCCAUGUACUUUCUUUGCAGCUUAAUAGAAAAAUAUAGAUCGGUUUUGCUUUUUGUUUCUUCAAUUAAUUUGUUUUUAUAAAUGAUCUAUAUUUUUUUAUCUGAACGCUCUCUUACAGUUUGUUUUCAUCAAUAAUUUUUGAUCGUUAUUACAUUUUUCUUUUGUAUUAGUUUUUUUAUUGUUCGUAGGUAGUGUUAAAAGUGUAAGAGAGCGUUGGAGGGGCUAUUGCAUUGGUUGAGCCUCACAGAAGGGAGCGGCGGUGGGGCUCCCUUCACCCCCCCCCCCAAAAAAAAAAAAAAUUAAUUAAUUUUUUUGUCAAGGGUCACUCGAGCGAUGACAUGGUACAAAAACGAUAACGACGAACUCAACAACGCUUAUACUUGGUACGCAAGUUUACUUAUCAGGUCCUCUUAUUUUAUUUACUUUUAUUUUCAAUUGAUUGCAUUGAUAAUUUUAUAAACUGUUUUUGUCAUUUUUCUCUUUUCGAGGGCAUCUCUUUUUACGAAUCAACAACAGCAGCACACAGAUGUAUUUGUGGAAAAGUAGCAGCUGUCAGUUGACUCACUCAAGGACUGCGCACUCAUCAUUCAACCAGGAGGACUAGAAGCAUCAGCACCAGGUAGCUGCACCAGGAGUUACAAGAAUAGGAGCAACGGGGCUGGGCGCAACAGAAGAAACUGCAUCAAAUACAAAUUAAUCUUUAUUUAUGGUUUAUUUUUAUAUACUUUUUAUUUUCUUUGUAUUUUGUAUUUAUAUUGUAUUACGAAUUUUUCAAAUUUAAUUUCUUUUUUUUUAAAUAAAAUCAGUAUUUGUAUAACGUCUUGCAAUUUUGAAGGGAGGGGGUAAACCUGAACCUUCUUUAGACGUACGUUUAUUAUCCUUAAUGACUGACAUUUUUGCAAAUGUAGUCGACGAAUUUUUUUGAAUUUGAAUCACGUAUUGGUUCCUCUUCCUUGUAAUAUUUCUUAUGUGCACUAGUUUGUUUAACAAUUUUAGCAUAGUCUGAUAAAUC